UACGUAGGGGGCAAGCGUUGUCCGGAUUUAUUGGGCGUAAAGAGCGUGUAGGCGGUUUGGUAGGUCCGCUGUGAAAACUCGAGGCUCAACCUCGAGACGCCGGUGGAAACCAUCAGACUAGAGUCCGGAAGAGGAGAGUGGAAUUCCUGGUGUAGCGGUGAAAUGCGCAGAUAUCAGGAAGAACACCCGUGGCUAAGGCGACUCUCUAGUACGGUACUGACGCUGAGACGCGAAAGCGUGGGGAGCGAACAGG
rnacentral:rRNA from 1 species